UACGUAGGGGGCAAGCGUUGUCCGGAAUCAUUGGGCGUAAAGAGCGCGUAGGCGGCCCAGUAGGUCCGCUCUGAAAGUCAGGGGCUCAACCCCUGAAUGCGGGUGGAUACUGCUGGGCUAGAGUCCGGAAGAGGCGAGUGGAAUUCCUGGUGUAGCGGUGAAAUGCGCAGAUAUCAGGAGGAACACCCAUAGCGAAGGCAGCUUGCUGGGACGUUACUGACGCUAAGGCGCGAAAGCGUGGGGAGCGAACAGG
rnacentral:rRNA from 1 species